AUGAGCGAGUUUAUGCCUCACAGGUUACGGUUUACAUCAGGAUUCUCAGAACAGAAAGUGCGCGCGACUAGACGAACGCCUCAUAGCGGUUUACUGCAAAAAGCAAGAAAUCAACAUAACAUCAACAUCAUGCAGGCUGAUGGAAAGGGAGUGGACGGUGGCCUGCUGCCUGAUGCCAACGGGAAGGAGCCCAGCCCAGGAGGACAGAGGGAGGACAGAGGGAAAUGGCAGAAGCCCCGAAUCACUCGUAAAUCUCUGAUGAAGUGCUGCCUCGUCAAAUGGAUCAUUGACAGCACCACAAACACUCAGGGGCCAGAGAGUAGCGACUGUGAAUUGGAGCUUUCUACUGUUCGUCACCAGCCUGAAGGCUUGGAACAGCUCCAGGUCCAGACCCAGUUCACCAAGAAGGAGUUGCAGUCACUCUACAGAGGCUUUAAAAACGAGUGUCCCAGCGGGCUGGUGGAUGAGGAGACUUUCAAGAACAUCUACUCACAGUUCUUCCCCCAGGGAGAUGCCACCACAUAUGCACAUUUCCUGUUCAACGCAUUUGACAUGGACAGAAAUGGCUCUAUCCGUUUCGAGGACUUUGUGAUUGGACUAUCUGUACUGCUCAGAGGUUCAGAAACAGAGAAACUCCGGUGGGCCUUCAAUCUGUAUGAUAUCAACAAGGAUGGCUACAUCACCAAGGAGGAGAUGUUGGCCAUAAUGACGUCCAUCUAUGACAUGAUGGGCAGGUAUACCUCUCCCAGUGUACGAGAUGUUGAUCCAUCUGAGCAUGUGGACAAGUUCUUUCAGAAAAUGGAUCGGAACAGAGACGGGGUGGUGACCAUUGAUGAGUUCAUAGAGACUUGUCAGAAGGAUGAAAAUAUCAUGGCCUCCAUGCAGCUCUUUGAGAACGUCAUCUAG
rnacentral:lncRNA from 13 species